GGAGGGAGUGGAGAGGAUUCGAAAAGGUUUCUUGGUAAAGGAGGCUAGACUAUAAGUAGGAUGACAUCUCUUGAUGAGAUUUGACUGAGAUCCUGUUGAGGAUUCAUCAGAGAAUUCAGAGAUGUUAAUAAGACUAUCGGGGAUGGCUUUGGGAAAAGUUUUGGAUAUGUUUGCCAUAGAAUGGGUUCUGGUUAUGGGAGAAAAGAAAAGAUGAAUUUUAAAGGGG
rnacentral:lncRNA from 1 species